GUUUGAGGAAUGAGGUGAUUUUUUUUGUCUUGUCUCUGAACAAUCUACUCCAAUCAAAAUAAACAUCCAUCCCUUCUAGGGUCUUUUGCAGAUCCAGAUUUUGCUCCCAUGAUUGACAAUAACACUGACUCUACCAAAAGGACCAAGAAGGAUAAGGUUCUCUGCAUGACCUCAGGAUCCCCAUCACCCCAUGUGUCUCUGUGCCCAUGGAUAACACUUCCAGAGAGGAGAAGACCCCAUUGUCAGGAGAGAAGCAGAUCGGGCACAGGAGGGGGCUUAGAGGAAGAGCUUUGAGCCCUGAGGGCUAUGAUUCCAUGUGUGGACACUGG
rnacentral:lncRNA from 1 species